rnacentral:rRNA from 1 species
CCUACUUUCUUCCUCCUUGGGGCAUCUUGGGCAAUGGGCGCAAGCCUGACCCAGCAACGCCGCGUGAAGGAAGAAGGCUUUCGGGUUGUAAACUUCUUUUGACAGGGAAGAGCAGAAGACGGUACCUGUCGAAUAAGCCACGGCUAACUACGUGCCAGCAGCCGCGGUAAUACGUAGGUGGCAAGCGUUGUCCGGAUUUACGGGGUGUAAAGGGCGUGUAGCCGGGCUGACAAGUCAGAUGUGAAAUCCGGGGGCUCAACCCCCGAACUGCAUUUGAAACUGUUGGUCUUGAGUAUCGGAGAGGCAGGCGGAAUUCCUAGUGUAGCGGUGAAAUGCGUAGAUAUUAGGAGGAACACCAGUGGCGAAGGCGGCCUGCUGGACGACAACUGACGGUGAGGCGCGAAAGCGUGGGGAGCAAACAGGAUUAGAUACCCGGGUAGUC